rnacentral:lncRNA from 1 species
UGAUUUAACUUUUAGACUAUGUCGGUAGAGUUCAGAACUCAUCACCUUUUCAUGGAUCGAUGAUCUCUAUUGUUGGUAAGUAUAGUAUGAAACUCUCACUAAUGUCAAGUAGCCAUACAGGUCAUCCGGCCUCUACAAAUCAUCCACUCGAAGCUCUGAUCGGAUCUUCCUUCGUGGGAGUGCUAGCUUACGUUGAAGGCUCUGGAUGGCUGAUCCAAGCUCUUUUCUUUGGAUCUCUCGAACUCCUUCAGAUGAGAAGAUGAAGCUUUAUAAGAAGGUGGUGGUGUGGAAGAUUGGACAAGAUUCACUCUUGUAUUUUUCUUCUCACAAAAUCUAGAGAUAAAAUCAUAGAACCCGC